rnacentral:rRNA from 1 species
UACGUAGGGUGCAAGCGUUGUCCGGAAUUAUUUGGGCGUAAAGAGCUCGUAGGCGGUUUGUCGCGUCGAAUGUGAAAUCUCAGGGCUCAACUCUGACAUUGCAUUCGAUACGGGCAGGCUAGAGUUCGGUAGGGGAGACUGGAAUUCCUGGUGUAGCGGUGAAAUGCGCAGAUAUCAGGAGGAACACCGGUGGCGAAGGCGGGUCUCUGGGCCGAUACUGACGCUGAGGAGCGAAAGCGUGGGGAGCGAACAGG